GCAGCACUAUUUAAUUAUUUUUUUCCUCAGAAGAUGGUAGAACGUAAAAUUUUUAUGCAAAAAUAAUAGAAUGGCUAUAAAAAUAACUAAAAUCAUUUUAUUUAGAACAAAAUUCAAUUGCUUUUAUAAAUAUAUAAUCUAUUCGAUGAAACGAUUUUUAAGUGCUAUAUACAGCGGAAAAUGAAACGUUUUCUCUCAUAAGUGUCAGUACCAGUGUUGCCGUUCUAAGAACGUUGUCUCAAUCUAGGGAAUUUAGGGGAACGUUUGGGGGAUAAACAAAUUCAGGGUACGUCUAGCUACGUUUUGAAAAUAGCAGAAAGUAUCAAAUCAGCCAUACUGGUCGAUUUGAUACUGAUUCUGAAAGAAACGAUGUGCCCAACAAUUUUUUUUUCGUUUUCGAUUUUGUUAGUUUUGCUAGUGACUUUUAAUUUUGGAAAAAGGCAACCCUGUCCAAUGCGAGAUAUGACAGGUCACAGGAUAAUCCGUUUGUUUUCUGAAAUUUGAAUUAUUCUUGAUUUCUUGAGUUUAUUGUUAAUUUUAAAAUGGCUUCUAGGAGGAAGGUGUAUUGUGUUUUUGGAUGUAGUGAAAUAGGAGCAAUUAUGCAUCGUUUCCCUCACCCUUCAAGACGACGAGUUGUUUGCUAUCGGGAUGUCAAUUGUUGGUGAAUGACUAAAAGAUCUUGGAGCCAGACAUGAUCUAAAGAAACAAGAGAGACUGUGAUUACCAUUUCAAGCCUGAGCACAAAGUUUCAGGUCACCAAUUACUCCAUUUAUCUGUUCCAUCAAUCUACUAGUGGUAUAUUUCAUUCUGCGAGUACAGCAGUUUACAUGGAACAUAACUAUUCUCAGCCAAGGAUGUGGCCUUAUGAGACAAGGGCAAAUGAAGAUAAUGAUGUCCCCAUUAAAUCAGCAAAUUUUAGAUAAAGGUCGUACAAAACAUUGUGAUGAAUACUUAGUAAAAAAAUAUAAAAAGUCCCAAAUUGAACAGAAAAAUUGAAGUUAAAGAAAAGUAUGGCUAAAGAGAGAAGUUUUAAAUUGCCAAUGCCGAAAAUUAGUUGCUGGUCAGGCAUUUCAUAAAGUCACAGCAAAAAUGUCAGAAGCUGGAAUUUUUUUUACUGGAAUACAAUUUAAACAAGCUCUGAAAAAACCUAAAGGAAGACGUUAUACCGCUGAAGAAAAAGUGUUGGCCUUGACUUUGUUAUUUUAUUUGUUAUGUUUGUGUUAUUAUAAUGCUUAACCAAAUACAUAUAUGAUAUAUAAUAUAUAAAUAAUCUUAAGCUACUAGAAUGCUAGUUAUAUAGUGUGGAAAAAAAUGAAUAAACUCCCAAUUAAUUUAAAAGCGUUUUUCUUUACCUGGCCCAAUUAUCUUUAGAUUUUCAAAUGUGUCAAGUGAUUUGUUUUGUUGUUAUCUUUUUUAUCACCUGGAAAUGUUUAGCUUUAAGUCCAGCCACCAAUUUAUUACGCAACUAGAUUUUUUUUAUAUGCAUUGUGUAAUUGUG